UCCUCGAUUUCCUGUGAGACUGUUUGUGUCAUUUAUCUAGGUCAAUUUCAAGGACAUAAAGUCUUUUAAUUUUUUUUGAGACAGAGUCUCACUGUGUUGUCCAGGCUAGAGUGCAGUGGUACAAUCACAGCUCACUGACGCCUCCAUCUCCCAGGCUCAAGUGAACCUCCCACCUCAGCCUCCUAAGUAGCUGGAACUACAGGCACAUGCCACCAUGCUUGACUAAUAUUUGAUUUUUUGUAGAGACAGGGCCUCACUAUGUUGCAACUAGGCUGGUCUUGAACUCCUGGACACAAGUGAUCCUCCCACCUUGGCCUCCUGACAUGUUGGGAUUACAAAGUCUUUUCUAGUCCCAUAGUCAGGGAGUCAAGCCCAGCCAGCCCCCUUUCCUCAAUGGGCCUUGAGUCCUCCUCAGUCCCCACUGCACCCUCUGGCUGUGGUUCCUUAGUACCAUUCACCCCUGAAGCUUUUUUCCUUUCUUACUCUGGCAAUAAUUUUGUUAUAUUUUUUUCCAGUGUGUCUCUAUGCAUGGAGUAAGAAAGAAACCAUCCUACAGUAGCACCAAAUCCAGCAUGGAUGGCUGUGUUGGUGCAGGACUUUCACAUGUCUUUGGAGUAGAAUAAGAUGUGCCAAUCCAGACUCAACCCCAUCUCAUCAAGAUCCAGUGAUCUUCAUUUUCUGAUUGUCUACCCCAAGCUCUCUUCCUCCCCAAACUCAUCCUCCACCCUGCUACUGGACUUGUCUUUGUACUCUCAAAGCAGUGUAAGGAGAUUCAUCAACCGGUGGUGUGGACAUGUGAACAGCGUGAGGCAGACAGUUAUAAACUUCUUGAGGGUGGCAGCCAGACAGUAGCAGUUUGCGUGCGAAGCCCCUGCAGUGGCAUAUGGAAGACUUUCAAUACAUCAGGACCAGAGGAUGAGCUGGAAAUGAAAUCACACCCACUGGUGGGAGAAAACUAAACUUGAUGACAGAGGACCAACAGAGGAAGCAGCUUGAGUAUGUGUCCUCAGAUGCAGACACACAAGGCCUUGCCUUCCUGGAUGAGACAGGCACUGACUGGAGCAGAGUUUGCCAGACUCAAAGGGCCACAUUUUAGGGACAGUCUAAAAUGUGGUAUAUGGACAAUCUGGCAGUGGUAUGUAGAAUGGGUUAAAACUGGAAGACUGGGCUGGGUAUGGUGGUGCAUGCCUGUAAUUCCAGUACUUUGGGAGGCUGAGGCAGGAGGAUUGCUUGAGCCCAGGAGUUCAAGACCAGACUGGACAACACAAUGAGACUUUGUCUCUAAAAAAACAAACAAAACUGGGUGAUUAGGAGGUGACUACAAGAGCAUAGGGAGUGAGUGGAAAAUGAAAGGAUGUGUGUAAAUCCGAAGAAACGGUCAGAACUGAAGGUCAGAAUGUGUGCUCUGCAAUGUGUGAAUACAGUACAAAUGUGCUCCAGGAAGAAUAUCUGAAACAGAUUCUCAUGAGUUUCCAGAAGUACGUGGCUGUACUCAGAGUUGGGGAAGAACAUAGCAGGAAGUGGCCAGAGGUAGUAAAAGCAGAAUGGGGAUUGAGGAAUUGAUGCUCCUAAGUGAGAAAAAAAAGGCAGCUUGUGUUGGGGCAUGUGUGGGAGCAGGAGCAAGUUUUUGACAGGACAGGCUGUCACAUAGGGUUUUGCUGCUGAACUCCACCAAGCAAAGCCUUGAAGCAGAGUUCCUCAGCUGCUGAGGUCCACACUCAUACUCAGCUGUGGCGGGAGGCUAUGGAGUCUACAGGCUUAUAGGCAAUUCCCAGAGUGUUAGUUUCCCACUGGCAUUCUGGGCAUGUGAGGGGCUUGUAGGGCUGGGCUGAAGACUAGAUGAGCCUGCCUGUGUGCAGGAAGUGCUAAACUGAAUACUGAGUGCCAGACUUGCCUGGCUCCAUACUAAACAGGGAGUCACGGCUUCUGUCCAUCCAGGAAAUACAUGUACAUCUCAUAUAUACCUAUUCCACAAACUCUUUUUGAAAGCCCAGACGAUAAAUAGGCACGAAGCUACCUAAGCUGAAAAGGCCACCUGGCUCUACAUGUGAGACAUUAACAUGAGGGCUUUAUACUUUUCUAUAUGUGGCCUCAAGCAAACCAGAAGAAUGUAAGUGCCAUCGCAUGUCCACAGACCCCCUUGAGCAGACUGGUGAGACUUUUUGCACUGACCUGGAUUUGUGGUCAGACUGACCUGGGUUCAGAUUCCUGUGUCACCAACUGGAGCCAUGUAACCCUGGGCUUGGGCUAACAUCUCUGGGUUUUGUUUUGUUUUUUUUUUGAGACAGAGUCUCACUCUGUCACCCAGGCUGGAGUGCAGUGGUACAAUCUUGGCUUACUGCAACCUCCAACUCCCAGGUUUAAGCAAUUCUCCCACCUCAGCCUCCCGAACAGCUGAGACUACAGGUACGUGCUACCAUGCCUGGCUAAUUUUUGUAUUUUUUGGUAGACCUUGUUGGCCAGGCUGGUCUCAAACUCCUGACCUCAAGUGAUCCACUUGCCUCCCAAAGUGCUGGGAUUACAGGCGUGAGCCACCACACCAGGCUCUAGCUAACAUCUCUGAAUCUGAAUUUCUUUGCUUGUAAAAUGAGGCUGGUAUUUAUUUCCCAGAUUUAUUCAGGGGGUUAAAUGAGCUAAAGCCACAUAAGGCAGGCUGGUAGGUUUUCAAAGAAAUGUUUAGUGACCUUCCCCUUCCAUAGGAAAAAACUUAAGUUUUGGAGCUAAACAGACCAGAUUCUCAGCACUUUCCCAUUUCAGAUUAUGUGACCCUGGGAUGUUGAAUCAUCUUCCUCUGCCUGAAUUUCCUCAUCUGUAAAAUGAAGUAUUAUUGCCUUCUUGCUGUGGAGAUGGAAAACUGAGAGGAGCCUGAGGCUCUCCAGCAGAGUGUGGCCUGAGAGUGGCCAGGGCUGGUUAGGUCCACCCUCUCCUCCAACACCUUCAGAGAUGGGAGGACUCACUUUUUCAGUUUCUUCUUCUUCUUCUUUUUUUUUUUUUUUAAAGACAGGAUUUCACUCUGUUGCUCAGGCUGGAGUGCAGUUGCAUGGUCAUAGCUCAUUGCAGCCUUGACCUCCCAGGCUCAAGCAAUCCUACUCAGCCUCCCAAGUAGCUGGGACUACAGGUGUGCACCACCACACCCAGCCCUUUCUCAGAGUUUCUAAAACUGAAAGCCAUCGUCCAGAAAUAUUUAGUCCAUACAUCUUUUUACACAGAAUAUAUUUAAUUCCAUCAUAUAAGCUAGGAACAAUGUUAACCAACAGAAAAUGUGAUCACGAGCUACAUACAAUAGAUCAAAUGAAGCACACAUAUCCAUGAAAAAAUCAUGUCAAUUAAAUAUACUCUGCAUUUCCAUUAAUAUUAGUAUGCUAUUCUUUGAUUUUUUUUGCUGAUAAGCAGUCAAAACAUUUAAACUCAAAAUUGAUAAAUCAACUAGCUUGCUUUUUGUCAUUUGGAAGACUACCAUUAUUCAAAUUUAAUAUGUAAUACACUCAUCCAGAUAAUGAAACAUCUGUGAAAAAAAGUGUGGGAAUCACCUCAUCUGUGCAUAAAAUGGCUACUAUACAUUAAUGCAGACAUUUGAAGUUAGAAAGGAAUAUAACUCAAAUGGCAAAAGGUCCUAAUUACAGAGUUUACAAAUAAGCAGUUUUAUUUUCAAAAGUACAUAGUAAGUCCAGACUGGGCUAUUGCCAAAGAACUAAUCUUUAGUCUACUUUAACAUGUUACAUGGUAUUCCUGACUCCACAGACUAUCAACAUCUGUGGAGGUUAGCUCCUAAAGGUCCCAAAGAACAGGAAACAUGCAGGAAUGAAGGACUCCUCAUGAAGAGUAGGUGGGAGCAAGUGGGCAGGCCUGUAUCUUCUCAGCGAAGUAAGGAUUGAGUAUAGAGAGCUGUUUGUCUUAACUGGGCUUCCCUGAAGAAUCUGAGCCAAACUGGAAGAAACCAGCCUCAUUUCCAGUGUUGAGAUGUUAGCUGUACAGUGGCUGUACAACUGCAGAGUUUAUUUAUAGAAUUAGAAAUAAUUUUUAAAAAUUUUAAAAGCUUUUGUGUAAUCAUUAACCAGAGAUGAUGGUCACAAAUUCUGGUAAAAAUUUGACUCUCCAACUAUCACCACAUCAACAGGAAACAGGGCCAUGCCACCAGGGAGGACUGUCUCAGCUGCCAUUUAGGGAGCUGACCCCUUUGCUCUCUUGAGACCAGUUCCUGAAAGGAGGGCCUGUUUUGUACAGAUGUGGCCAUGGAACUCAUGGGGCCCUUGUAUCACUUAUAAAAAUACAUAUCUUUGGCAGGCGAAACGUUCAUUCUGAUUUCACUAAUUUUCAUGUAUCCAUUUCAAAGGCCUAUAACAUACAUAGUAAUUUAGUUUUCUAGGUGCAUAAUUUGAAUUUAGGGUGCUUACAGCUAGGAGACAAGAUGAACAGAGCUAACUGUCAGGCACUCCUAUUUUAACAUGGCUAUUUUUUUCUGUUAGUUCACAUAUUACCAGCAAUUAGUAUAUAUUUUGAAGCUUUUGUGAAACUAUGCCCUGUGAUGCUCUUCCAACUUGGGGAUAACGAUACACAUGGCUGUGUCUGAGAUAUACAUUUUUCUGAAAUGUCAAAGGUCUACUUCUCAACAUUCUAAUGGAUUCACAGAUUACUUAUUAUUACUGGUUCUUAAUGAACUUGGUACUUCCUGUAGCAGUCUUCUAAGUGACUGGUCUAGGAGUCCCAGUUUUUAUGUUCUCCAUUUUGAGUUUACCCUGCCCAUGUUCUCACUGAACCUCUGGUAAUAACGACUUUUAGAAAUCUUGACUGAAAAACAAACGGGGCCAUGGUGCUUUCAGGUGUUGGAACUCUUUGAGCACCAGGAACUGUGCUAAGUGUCUUACAUGUGUUCUCAUUCAGAGAUCAGAGAGAGGUAGGUACUAUCAUCUCCACUUUAAGGAUGAAGACAGAGGCUUAAAGCAGUGAAGUCACAUAGCCAGGGACUGGCCAACAAAGAUCUGAACCCAGGUAGAUAGGACUCCAGAACUACAAUCGCCCUUGAAAGAAUUACAAAGCCCAACUCUCCACUGCUCUCUACUUGUAACACAAGUCAUAAAUCUCUACCCUCAGGGGCCUAAAGCCAACAAAUUCUGUAUGUAUUCCUCUAUUUGUUUUCUAUUGCUGCUGUAACAAAUUACCACAAACUCAGUGGCUUUAAACCGAGUUUCUGUAGGUGAGAAGUGUGGCAUAGCACAGCAAAUUUAUAUGCUCAGGGUCUCACCAGGCUAAAAUCAAGGCAUCAGGUAAGGCCAAGUUUCUCAUCUGUGCCUCAAGGUGCUCUUCCAAGCUCACUGGCAGGAUUCACUUCCUUCUCUUGAUUUCCACAUGGCCCCUCUAUCUUCACGUCAGCAAUAGCACCUUGGGCCUUCCUUUGAAUCUGACUCCUGCAUCCUCUUCCAUUUUUAAGGGUUCAUGUAAUUACACUGGGUUCCCCCAGGUAAUCCAGGAUAAUAUCUCUAUUUUAGAAAUUUUAGUUACAUCUGCAAAGUCCCUUUUACCACAUAAUGUAACACAUUCACAGGCAUAACACUGGGCAGGGAAGGUGAUGGGGACCAAAAUUCUGCCUAUCACCCCCUCCUGGAACCUCUCUUGUACAUCUACAGCACCCAAGGCAAAAUGCUGUCUCCCUUAGACAGUUUUUCAGUACUCUGUCCUCUGCCAAGUGUCCAAGCAGUUAUAGCAGCUGGACUGGGUCUCACUCAAAAUAUAAAUUAACACCAUGUGUUUUCACCUUAAGAAAUGCUGGUUGGCUGGGCCUGCUGGCUCAUGCCAGUAAUCCCAGCACUUUCGAAGGCUUAGAUGGGUGGAUCACCUGAGGUCAGGAGUUCGAGACCAGCCUGGCCAACAUGGUGAAACCCCAUCUCUACUAAAAUACAAAAAUUAGCUGGGCAUGGUGGCAUGCGCCUGUAAUCUCAGCUACUUGGGAGGCUGAGGCAGGAGAAUCGCUGGAACCCGGGAGGGAGGGUUGCAGUGAGCCAAGAUUGUGCCAUUGCACUCCAGUCUGGGUGACAAGAAUGAGACUCUAUUAAAGGAAAAAAAAAAAAAAAAA